rnacentral:misc_RNA from 1 species
UCUCCGUUGGUGAACCAGCGGAGGGAUCAUUACCGAGUUAUCAACUCCCAAACCCCUGUGAACAUACCCAACGUUGCUUCGGCGGGACCGCCCCGGCGCCCUCGGCGUCCCGGAACCAGGCGCCCGCCGGAGGACCCAAACUCUUGUUUUUAUACAGUAUCUUCUGAGUAAAUGAUUAAAUAAAUCAAAACUUUCAACAACGGAUCUCUUGGUUCUG